rnacentral:rRNA from 1 species
AACGCUGGCGGCGUGCCUAAUACAUGCAAGUCGAGCGCGGGAAGCGGACAAUCACCCGUUCGGGGUGUGCGUCCGUGGAACGAGCGGCGGAUGGGUGAGUAUCACGUGGGCAACCUGCCUGUAAGAUUGGGAUAACUCGCGGAAACGUGAGCUAAUACCGAAUGAAGUCUUUCACCGCCUGGUGAAAGGAUGAAAGAUGGCUCUUGAGCUAUCACUUACAGAUGGGCCCGCGGCGCAUUAGCUAGUUGGUGGGGUAAAGGCCUACCAAGGCGACGAUGCGUAGCCGACCUGAGAGGGUGAUCGGCCACACUGGGACUGAGACACGGCCCAGACUCCUACGGGAGGCAGCAGUAGGGAAUCUUCCGCAAUGGACGAAAGUCUGACGGAGCAACGCCGCGUGAGUGAUGAAGGUCUUCGGAUACGUAAAACUCUGUUGUCAGGGAAGAACAAGUUGUGUUCUAACAGGACAUGACCUUGACGGUACCUGACCAGAAACGCCCCGGCUAACUACGUGCCAGCCGCAGC